GGAUUAGAUACCCUGGUAGUCCAUGCCGUAAACGUUGGGAACUAGAUGUGGGGACCAUUCCACGGUCUCCGUGUCGCAGCUAACGCAUUAAGUUCCCCGCCUGGGGAGUACGGCCGCAAGGCUAAAACUCAAAGGAAUUGACGGGGGCCCGCACAAGCGCCGGAGCAUGCGGAUUAAUUCGAUGCAACGCGAAGAACCUUACCAAGGCUUGACAUAUACCGGAAACGGCCAGAGAUGGUCGCCCCGCAAGGUCGGUAUACAGGUGGUGCAUGGUUGUCGUCAGCUCGUGCCG
rnacentral:rRNA from 1 species